rnacentral:rRNA from 1 species
GAUGAACGCUGGCGGCGUGCCUAACACAUGCAAGUCGAACGGAGUCGUUUUGGAAAAUCCUUCGGGAUUGGAAUUCUCGACUUAGUGGCGGACGGGUGAGUAACGCGUGAGCAAUCUGCCUUUAAGAGGGGGAUAACAGUCGGAAACGGCUGCUAAUACCGCAUAAAGCAUCAAAUUCGCAUGUUUUUGAUGCCAAAGGAGCAAUCCGCUUUUAGAUGAGCUCGCGUCUGAUUAGCUGGUUGGCGGGGUAACGGCCCACCAAGGCGACGAUCAGUAGCCGGACUGAGAGGUUGAACGGCCACAUUGGGACUGAGACACGGCCCAGACUCCUACGGGAGGCAGCAGUGGGGAAUAUUGCGCAAUGGGGGAAACCCUGACGCAGCAACGCCGCGUGAUUGAAGAAGGCCUUCGGGUUGUAAAGAUCUU